UACGUAGGGUGCGAGCGUUGUCCGGAAUUAUUGGGCGUAAAGAGCUUGUAGGCGGUUUGUCGCGUCUGCUGUGAAAAUCCGGGGCUCAACCCCGGACUUGCAGUGGGUACGGGCAGACUAGAGUGUGGUAGGGGAGCGUGGAAUUCCUGGUGUAGCGGUGAAAUGCGCAGAUAUCAGGAGGAACACCAGCGGCGAAGGCGGCGCUCUGGGCCGGUACUGACGCUGAGGAGCGAAAGCGUGGGGAGCAAACAGG
rnacentral:rRNA from 1 species